AUUGAACGCUGGCGGCAGGCCUAACACAUGCAAGUCGAGCGGGGUUUUCGGACCUAGCGGCGGACGGGUGAGUAAUGCGUAGGAAGCUACCCGAUAGAGGGGGAUACCAGUUGGAAACGACUGUUAAUACCGCAUAAUGUCUACGGACCAAAGUGUGGGACCUUCGGGCCACAUGCUAUCGGAUGCGCCUACGUGGGAUUAGCUAGUUGGUGAGGUAAUGGCUCACCAAGGCGACGAUCUCUAGCUGGUUUGAGAGGAUGAUCAGCCACACUGGAACUGAGACACGGUCCAGACUCCUACGGGAGGCAGCAGUGGGGAAUAUUGGACAAUGGACGCAAGUCUGAUCCAGCCAUUCCGCGU
rnacentral:rRNA from 1 species